GACGAACGCUGGCGGCGUGCUUAACACAUGCCAGUCGAACGAAGAGCGAUGGAAGCUUGCUUCUAUCAAUCUUAGUGGCGAACGGGUGAGUAACGCGUAAUCAACCUGCCCUUAAGAGGGGGACAACAGUUGGAAACGACUGCUAAUACCGCAUACGAUCUAAUCUCGGCAUCGAGGAUAGAUGAAAGGUGGCCUCUACAUGUAAGCUAUCACUGAAGGAGGGGAUUGCGUCUGAUUAGCUAGUUGGAGGGGUAACGGCCCACCAAGGCGAUGAUCAGUAGCCGGUCUGAGCGGAUGAUCGGUCACAGUGCGACUGAGACACGGCCCAGACUCCUACGGUAGGCAGCAGUGGGGAAUCUUCCGCAAUGGACGAAAGUCUGACGUAGCAACGCCGCGUGAGUGAUGACGGCCUUCGGGUUUUAAAGCUCUGUUAAUCGGGACGAAAGGCCUUCUUGCGAAGAGUGAGAAGGAUUGACGGUACCUGAAUAGAAAGCCACGGCUAACUACGU
rnacentral:rRNA from 1 species